rnacentral:rRNA from 1 species
ACCCGCUGAACUUAAGCAUAUCAAUAAGCGGAGGAAAAGAAACCAACAGGGAUUGCCUUAGUAACGGCGAGUGAAGCGGCAAAAGCUCAAAUUUGAAAUCUGGCGCAAGCCCGAGUUGUAAUUUGAAGAAGGUAAUUUUUGGGGAGAAGUGGGCAAAAGUUCCUUGGAACAGGACGUCGUAGAGGGUGAGAAUCCCGUUUUGCUGACCUCUCUCUCCUUGUAAAAUGCUUUCGAAGAGUCGAGUUGUUUGGGAAUGCAGCUCUAAGUGGGUGGUAAAUUCCAUCUAAAGCUAAAUAUUGGCGAGAGACCGAUAGCGAACAAGUACAGUGAUGGAAAGAUGAAAAGAACUUUGAAAAGAGAGUGAAAAAGUACGUGAAAUUGUUGAAAGGGAAGGGUUUUAAGGGAGACAUGGGGAGUAGUGAACAGCUUUCCUUUGGGGAGGUGCACUCGUUGCUUGCUGGGCCAGUAUGGGUUUUGGGGGCGGGACAAAAGGGUAGCAAUGUGGCCAACUUGUUGGUGUUAUAGGCUGCCCCAAUGCCGCCACCCGAGACCAAGGAACGCGAUUCUAGGAUACUGGCGUAAUCCCUUUAAACCACCCGUCUUG